rnacentral:rRNA from 1 species
UACGUAGGGUGCAAGCGUUGUCCGGAAUUAUUGGGCGUAAAGAGCUCGUAGGCGGUUUGUCGCGUCUGCUGUGAAAACCUGAGGCUCAACCUCAGGCCUGCAGUGGGUACGGGCAAGCUAGAGUGCGGUAGGGGAGAUGGGAAUUCCUGGUGUAGCGGUGGAAUGCGCAGAUAUCAGGAGGAACACCGAUGGCGAAGGCACAUCUCUGGGCCGUAACUGACGCUGAGGAGCGAAAGCGUGGGGAGCGAACAGGAUUAGAUACCCUGGUAGUCCACGCCGUAAACGGUGGGUGCUAGUUGUGGGUUCCAUUCCACGGAAUCCGUGACGAAGUUAACACAUUAAGCACCCCGCCUGGGGAGUACGGUCGCAAGACUAAAACUUAAAGGAAUUGACGGGGGCCCGCACAAGCGGCGGAGCAUGCGGAUUAAUUCGAUGCAACGCGAAGAACCUUACCAAGGCUUGACAUAUAGAGGAAAAGCGUAGAAAUACGCUCCCCGCAAGGUCUCUGUACAGGUGGUGCAUGGUUGUCGUCAGCUCGUGUCGUGAGAUGUUGGGUUAAGUCCCGCAACGAGCGCAACCCUCGUCCUAUGUUGCCAGCACGUUAUGGUGGGAACUCAUGGGAGACUGCCGGGGUCAACCCGGAGGAAGGUGGGGAUGACGUCAAGUCAUCAUGGCCCUUAUGAGCUGGGCUACACACGUGCUACAAUGGCAGUGACAAUGGGCUAAUCCCAAAAAGCUGUCUCAGUUCGGAUUGGGGUCUGCAACUCGACCCCAUGAAGUCGGAAUCGCUAGUAAUCGCGUAACAGCAUGACGCGGUGAAUACGUUCCCGGGCCU